GUGCUCACUUCAGCACAUAUACUAAAAUUGGAAUGAUAGAGAAGAUUAGCAUGGCCCUUAAGCAAGGAUGACAUGCAAAUUCAUGAAGUGUUGCAUAUUUUA
rnacentral:snRNA from 1 species